rnacentral:rRNA from 1 species
AUUGAACGCUGGCGGCAUGCCUUACACAUGCAAGUCGAACGGUAACGGGCCUUCGGGUGCCGACGAGUGGCGAACGGGUGAGUAAUACAUCGGAACGUGCCCGAUCGUGGGGGAUAACGAGGCGAAAGCUUUGCUAAUACCGCAUACGAUCUACGGAUGAAAGCAGGGGACCGCAAGGCCUUGCGCGGACGGAGCGGCCGAUGGCAGAUUAGGUAGUUGGUGGGAUAAAAGCUUACCAAGCCGACGAUCUGUAGCUGGUCUGAGAGGAUGAUCAGCCACACUGGGACUGAGACACGGCCCAGACUCCUACGGGAGGCAGCAGUGGGGAAUUUUGGACAAUGGGCGCAAGCCUGAUCCAGCCAUGCCGCGUCCAGGAUGAAGGCCUUCGGGUUGUAAACUGCUUUUGUACGGAACGAAAAGCCUUCUUUUAAUACAGGAGGGUCAUGACGGUACCGUAAGAAUAAGCACCGGCUAACUACGUG